UUAUCGCUAAACUCAUUAAUCGCAUUUACCGUUAGGUAAAUGAGGUUAAGUUAACAAGG
rnacentral:rRNA from 1 species